rnacentral:misc_RNA from 1 species
UUUUUUUUUUAAAAAAAAGGGGGAAACUUUUUUGAAGUUUCUAAGAAGUUUCAAUGUUUGAAAUGUGUCCCACACAAGAAGGUUGGCCUUGGCCUUCUAGAGGUUUUCUUGCUUCCUGGACAUGUAUGCAUGUUCCCCUCCCUAUGACCCAUGCAUGCCCUUGGGGUUUCAAUUUGUUAGAAUAUGCUGUGAUUACCCAGUUAUUGUGCUGUGUAAAUAUGCCUGUGAUUAUGCCAGUAACAGUGCCCUCGUAAUUAACAUUCUAUACUUGGUGCAUGUCAAGUAGCAUAUGUACCCAGUAGCUAGAAGGAAUAAUCAAGCUUUUUUCUCCCACAUUCCUGUUCUAUUCCUUCUUCUUUUAAACAAUACCAAUUAAAUGUGAAAUUUUGCAAACGUACCCAUUGUAUACCAAAAUACCUAAUUCUACCCCAUUGAGUAAAAUGGCCGGAAAAUAUGUGAAAUAUUAACAACCUUAACUCUAUCAUUCACCAACAGAACACCAAGAAUAAGCCCAGGAAUCUUAUAUAACAAUACCAU